CCUACGGGUGGCAGCAGUGAGGAAUAUUGGUCAAUGGGCGAGAGCCUGAACCAGCCAAGUCGCGUGAGGGAAGACGGUCCUAUGGAUUGUAAACCUCUUUUGCCGGGGAGCAAAAAGCGGUACGUGUACCGCAUCGAGAGUACCCGGAGAAAAAGCAUCGGCUAACUCCGUGCCAGCAGCCGCGGUAAUACGGAGGCUGCGAGCGUUAUCCGGAUUUAUUGGGUUUAAAGGGUGCGCGGGCGGCGAGUUAAGUCAGCGGUAAAAUUUCGGGGCUAAAACCCGCGACUCGGUUGAAACUGGCUUGCUGGAGUGGGCGAGAAGUAGGAGGAAU
rnacentral:rRNA from 1 species